GCAUCUUCAGCUUAAUUAGCUAGAAGCUCUUUUCUAUCAGUCAUGUGUUUCCUAUAGUAAACUUAGCUUUCUUAUUUUCAUACUCAAAGAUUGCUUUCAGGGUUAAAGCAUGCUCCAGACAAGGAUUCAUAACUAAGCUCAACUUCAGCUGUUCCAUAUAAACUCCAUAUGCUAACAUUGGCUACCCCUAUAUAUAUAUAUAUAUACCCCUAUCAUAUAUAUAUAUAUAUAUAUAUAUAUAUAUAUAUAUAUAUAUAUAUAUGAAGAAAUAAUGGAUGCUGUAGAUAUGAGCAUAUUCCCUGGGUGGUCAUGGCAUGGCCAGAGGGCCCCAGAUGCUGAUGCCAGGCCUGUUUGUACAGUGGUACCUCGGGUUAAGUACUUAAUUCAUUCCAGAGGUCCGUUCUUAACCUGAAACUGUUCUUAACCUGAAGCACCACUUUAGCUAAUGGGGCCUCUUGCUGCCACCGUGCUACCGGAGCACGAUUUCUGUUCUCAUCCUGAAGCAAAGUUCUUAACCCGAGGUACUAUUUCUGGGUUAACGGAGUCUGUAACCUGAAGCGUAUGUAACCUGAAGCGUAUGUAACCCGAGGUACCACUGUAGUUGCCUCCACCGUCUUUUGCUUUCUGAAUUUCAGUGCUACGAUUGAUCUGUAGCUACACCACUGCCCAGUCACCCAGCCCUUGAUCAAGGCCACUUCACAACCAUGUAACAAGGAAACUCUUUCUGAUGUGUUUCUCACCUGGUUGGAUCAAAGAUCUCUCUGAAUUUUUCACUCUCUGAGUCAGUUCUCUGUGCACAAAACAGGACCUUGUCCUAGGAUCAAUCCCUGGCAUCACCAGGUAGUGCCAAGCCAAUCCCUUGUCUGAAACCCUGGAGAGGUGCUGUCACUCAUUGUAAGGCAGUAUUGAGCUGGACGGAGAAAUGAUCUGAUAUCGCACAAGGCACAUUGCUAUGUAACCUGUUUUCAAGAGUCUCAGCUGUCCAUUCUGGGAAUGUAUACAAAUUGCCUUCUUAUCAGUAGAAAUUGCUCUGCACAAGUUUCACAUGAAAGGGAGUAAAAGCCAGGCUUGGAUCUGAGUUGGCUUUCACUUUAUACAUUUGGGGGAUAAACUGGAAUGAAAAAUCUUAUACCUGCAGUAUAAUCUGAUACCUGCCUACUCAAACGUAAACCCCUGGAACCUCAGGAGGGCUUACCCCUGAAUAGAUAUGUAUGGAGUUGAUUCCCUAGUCCUCUUGAGUUCAAAGAUCAGUGCAGCCCCAUGCCUGUCUACUAAGAAGAAAGCCACACUGCCUUCAAUGGGACUUAGUCCUAGGUAAGUGAGCAAAAGGAUUGCAGCCUUAAGUAUAUGUUAAUUCUCCCAGUUACAGAUAGGUAGCCGUGUUGGUCUGCCAUAGUCAAAACAAAAAAAAAUUCCUUCCAGUAGCACCUUAAAGACCAACUAAGUUAGUUCUUGGUAUGAGCUUUCGUGUGCAUGUUCUGAAGAAGUGUGCAUGCACACGAAAGCUCAUACCAAGAACUAACUUAGUUGGUCUUUAAGGUGCUACUGGAAGGAAUUUUUUUUUUGUUAAUUCUCCCAUUACUGUAAUUAAAUGAGGCAAGAAAAAAUGCUUUAACUUUGGCUGAACUAUGCUCCAAGUGUCUUGUCCUGUAUAAAUUCACAUCUUGAAAACAAACCCAAAAUUCUGAUCUCUUCUUUUCUAAUAAAAUGAGACAUCCAACCUACCUUAUCCUCUGUAACCUAUCUGACUGUGGCCAUAAUCUCUGCUAUUAGAAUACAAUAGUGAGCUAGAUACAUGCAUACAUGCCCUGUUUGUGGGCUUGCCUGAAGUUUCUAUUAGCUGCUGUGGAACACAGG
ensembl:lncRNA